UACCAGCACCCCGAGUGGUCGGGACGUUUAUUGGGCCUAAAGCAUCCGUAGCCGGUUCUACAAGUCUUCCGUUAAAUCCCCCUGCUUAACAGAUGGGCUGCGGAGGAUACUAUAGAGCUAGGAGGCGGGAGAGGCAAGCGGUACUCGAUGGGUAGGGGUAAAAUCCGUUGAUCCAUUGAAGACCACCAGUGGCGAAGGCGGCUUGCCAGAACGCGCUCGACGGUGAGGGAUGAAAGCUGGGGGAGCAAACCGG
rnacentral:rRNA from 1 species